rnacentral:pre_miRNA from 1 species
CGGGGAGCACGGGGGCGAGAGGCCGGCCAGGCGGAGCGUGGAGGGCCUGGAAGGCCUGGCUUUGCAGCGUGUUCUGGACUCUGCAGACCCGGCCUUGGCAAGCUCUUCCGCUGACGUCCCCGCGGCCGGAGCCCCAGCGCCCC